UACAGAGGUCUCAAGCGUUGUUCGGAUUCAUUGGGCGUAAAGGGUGCGUAGGUGGCGCCAUAAGUCGGGUGUGAAAUCUCGGGGCUUAACUCCGAAACUGCAUUCGAUACUGUGGUGCUUGAGGACUGGAGAGGAGACUGGAAUUCAUGGUGUAGCAGUGAAAUGCGUAGAGAUCAUGAGGAAGACCAGUGGCGAAGGCGACUACCUGGCCUGUUUCUUGACGCUGAGGCGCGAAAGCUAGGGGAGCAAACGGG
rnacentral:rRNA from 1 species